rnacentral:lncRNA from 1 species
CUUUUUAGGGCUACAACUGCAGCAUAUGGAAGUUUCCAGACUAGGGUUGACUUGGAGCUACAGCUGCCGGCUUACACCAGUCACAGUGACGUCAGAUCCAACCAGCAUCUGUGGCCUACACCACAGCUUGUGACAAAGCCAGAUCCUUAACUCACUGAGCAAGGCCAGGGUUAAAACCCACAUCCUCACGGCUAUUAGGCAGGUUCUGGACCGACUGAACCAUAAUUAAUUAAAAUGUGCUAUUUGGGAAGUCUAAAGGUUUCAAAACACUUGGACAAAUAAGAUCAUAGGUCACUGUGGAUAAUACUUUUUCCUUAAGCAGUUACAAGAGAUCUCAUAAGCAAAUACAGAUCACUUAAAGGUGAGGAACUUCACACAAUCUGUUAUCAAAAGCAGCACUCCAAGAGCAUUUUAUUCUCUUGACAGAGCGAAAAUUCGAAGUCAAGUUUUGCACCAGCUUACUUUUAAAAUCAACAUAACCUAAAUUUAGUCCCAACCAUGUACAAAACUCAUUUCUCAGUGUCCACCUCGCACAGCCCUUCCAUCACUCUUAGCAUCCGUAUAAGCCUGUCCCUUGUUUUUUCUAUCCAAAACAAGCUGUGAGACAGAUUUAUUUCCUUUUCCUUAAUAAAAUGCAAUUCCAUUCCUCAUACUUUCUUUACUAAAAACACACAUCCUACUUUCUUUAAGCAACCAUGAACUGUCUUCUGUAUCAGCACUCUGUAGUUAGGUAAACAUAAAUAUCAAUCAUUUCUUUUUUAAAAAAAAAGAAGAAAGUAUAUUCUUAUUGAAAAUAUCUCAGCAUGGCAAACAUAUUCAUAGUUUUAAAUACCUUUAGUUUCUGUAAAAUGAAGCCAAUGUUUAGUAACUAGUUUCAGUAUAUUAUCCUAUCUUAAUUGAUCUAGAUAUUCAUUAAGCAUCCAUCAUUUAACUUACUUUAACACAACUCGGAGUUCCCGUAGUGGCGCAGUGGAAACAAAUCCGACUUGGAAACAUGAGGUUGCAGGUUCGAUCCAUGGCCUCGCUCAGUGGGUUAAGGAUCCAGUGUUUGUGGUCCACGGUGUAGGUCAGAGACGAGGCUCAGAUCUGGCAUUACAAUUCCAUAUGCCACAGGUGCAGCCCUAAAAAGGCCAAAAAAAUAAAAGAAAAUAAAAUAAAAUGAUCUGCAGAAGUCACCCUCAAGUAGAAUUUUCCUUUUUUUUUUUUUUUUCUUUCAGGCCAUACCUUUGGGAAUUUCCCAGGCCAUACCUUUGGGAAGCUUCCCAUAGAAGCUGCAGCUAUUGGGUUACACCACAACCACAGCAACACCAGAUUGUUGUACCAUAAGCGAGGUCAGGGAUCAAACUGCACCCUCAUAUUCAUUAUGUCAGGUUCUUAACAUGCUGAGGCACAAUGAGAACUCUGAAUGCCAGAUCCUUAUUUUGCUGUUCUACCAAGAACAUCUCCAAGUAGACUUAUUAUUAUGUUUUAAUUAGUCAUAAAGAGUUCACCCAAAAGCUUAUUUACAUUUAAUUUACUUAUAAAAGAUUUAUGCAUUGAAUUCCCAUUGUGACUCAGCAGGUUGAGGACCUGAUGUAGUCUCUGUGAGGAUGCGGUUUUGAUCCCUGGCCUCACUCAGUGGGUCAGGGAUUGAACCUGCAAUCUCAUGGUUCCUAGUCGGAUUCAUUAACCACUGAGCCACGAUGGGAACUCCCGUAUUGGGGAAAUAACUUUUUUUAAAAAUUUAAAUUAAAAAAUAAAUAAAAUAUAUGACAGAUCUUUUUGACCAAAAAAAAAAAAAAAAAAAAAAAAA